rnacentral:rRNA from 1 species
GACGAACGCUGGCGGCGUGCUUAACACAUGCAAGUCGAACGAAGUGGCGAACGGGUGAGUAACGCGUAAUCAACCUGCCCUUCAGAGGGGGACAACAGUUGGAAACGACUGCUAAUACCGCAUACUGAAGGAGGGGAUUGCGUCGGAUGAGCUAGUUGGAGGGGUAAAGGCCUACCAAGGCGACGAUCCGUAACUGGGCUGAGAGGAUGAGCAGUCACAAUGGAACUGAGACACGGCCCAGACUCCGACGGGAGGCAGCAGUGGGGAAUCUUCCGCAAUGGACGAAAGUCUGACGGAGCAACGCCGCGUGAGUGAUGACGGCCUUCGGGUUGUAAAGCUCUGUUAAUCGGGACGCGGUACCGGAAUAGAAAGCCACGGCUAACUACGUGCCAGCAGCCGCGGUAAUAC